AACGAACGCUGGCGGCAUGCCUAACACAUGCAAGUCGAACGAGACCUUCGGGUCUAGUGGCGCACGGGUGCGUAACGCGUGGGAACCUGCCCUUAGGUUCGGAAUAACUCCCCGAAAGGGGUGCUAAUACCGGAUAAUGUCUUCGGACCAAAGAUUUAUCGCCUUUGGAUGGGCCCGCGUUGGAUUAGCUAGUUGGUAGGGUAAAAGCAUACCAAGGCGACGAUCCAUAGCUGGUCUGAGAGGAUGAUCAGCCACACUGGGACUGAGACACGGCCCAGACUCCUACGGGAGGCAGCAGUGGGGAAUAUUGGACAAUGGGCGAAAGCCUGAUCCAGCAAUGCCGCGUGAGUUAUGAAGGCCUUAGGGUUGUAAAGCUCUUUUACCCGGGAUGAUAAUGACAGUACCGGGAGAAUAAGCUCCGGCUAACUCCGUG
rnacentral:rRNA from 1 species